ACCCGCUGAACUUAAGCAUAUCAAUAAGCGGAGGAAAAGAAACCAACAGGGAUUGCCCCAGUAACGGCGAGUGAAGCGGCAACAGCUCAAAUUUGAAAUCUGGCCCCCGGCCCGAGUUGUAAUUUGUAGAGGAUGCUUUUGGCGAGGUGCCUUCCGAGUUCCCUGGAACGGGACGCCAUAGAGGGUGAGAGCCCCGUCUGGUUGGACGCCGAGCCUCUGUAAAGCUCCUUCGACGAGUCGAGUAGUUUGGGAAUGCUGCUCUAAAUGGGAGGUAUAUGUCUUCUAAAGCUAAAUACUGGCCAGAGACCGAUAGCGCACAAGUAGAGUGAUCGAAAGAUGAAAAGCACUUUGAAAAGAGGGUUAAACAGUACGUGAAAUUGUUGAAAGGGAAGCGCUUGCGACCAGACUUGGGCCUGGCCAAUCAUCCGGCGUUCUCGCCGGUGCACUUGGCCGGCCCAGGCCAGCAUCAGUUCGGCGCGGGGGACAAAGGCUUCGGGAACGUGGCUCCCCCGGGAGUGUUAUAGCCCGUUGCGCAAUACCCCGGGCCGGACUGAGGUUCGCGCAUUCGCAAGGAUGCUGGCGUAAUGGUCAUCAGCGACCCGUCUUGAAACACGGACCAAGGAGUCGUCCUCGUAUGCGAGUGUUCGGGUGUCAAACCCCUACGCGCAAUGAAAGUGAACGCAGGUGAGAGCUUCGGCGCAUCAUCGACCGAUCCUGAUGUUCUCGGAUGGAUUUGAGUAGGAGCAUACGGGGCCGGACCCGAAAGAAGGUGAACUAUGCCUGUAUAGGGUGAAGCCAGAGGAAACUCUGGUGGAGGCUCGCAGCGGUUCUGACGUGCAAAUCGAUCGUCAAAUAUGGGCAUGGGGGCG
rnacentral:rRNA from 1 species